rnacentral:rRNA from 1 species
UACGUAGGGUGCAAGCGUCAAUCGGAAUUACUGGGCGUAAAGCGUGCGCAGGCGGUUUUGUAAGACAGGCGUGAAAUCCCCGGGCUUAACCUGGGAAUGGCGCUUGUGACUGCAAAGCUGGAGUGCGGCAGAGGGGGAUGGAAUUCCGCGUGUAGCAGUGAAAUGCGUAGAUAUGCGGAGGAACACCGAUGGCGAAGGCAAUCCCCUGGGCCUGCACUGACGCUCAUGCACGAAAGCGUGGGGAGCAAACAGG